AAUAGAUACCCUGGUAGUCCACGCCGUAAACGAUGAGUGCUAAGUGUUAGGGGGUUUCCGCCCCUUAGUGCUGCAGCUAACGCAUUAAGCACUCCGCCUGGGGAGUACGGUCGCAAGACUGAAACUCAAAGGAAUUGACGGGGGCCCGCACAAGCGGUGGAGCAUGUGGUUUAAUUCGAAGCAACGCGAAGAACCUUACCAGGUCUUGACAUCCCAUUGACCGCUAUGGAGACAUAGCUUUCCCUUCGGGGACAGUGGUGACAGGUGGUGCAUGGUUGUCGUCAGCUCGUGUCGUGAGAUGUUGGGUUAAGUCCCGCAACGAGCGCAACCCUUGUUCUUAGUUGCCAUCAUUUAGUUGGGCACUCUAAGGAGACUGCCGGUGACAAACCGGAGGAAGGUGGGGAUGACGUCAAAUCAUCAUGCCCCUUAUGACCUGGGCUACACACGUGCUACAAUGGACGGUACAAACGGUUGCCAACCCGCGAGGGGAGCUAAUCCGAUAAAACCGUUCUCAGUUCGGAUUGUAGGCUGCAACUCGCCUAC
rnacentral:rRNA from 1 species